rnacentral:rRNA from 1 species
AGUGAACGUUGGCGGCGUGGAUUAGGCAUGCAAGUCGAGCGAGAACCGUAGCAAUACGGGGACAGCGGCGAAAGGGACAGUAAUGUGUGGGUACCUACCCCGAGGUCUGGGACAGCUGCGGGAAACUGCAGGUAAUACCGGUUAAUGUCUUCGGACCAAAGGUGUGAUUCCACCUUGGGAGGGGCCUGCAUCCUAUUAGCUUGUUGGCGGGGUAACGGCCCACCAAGGCAACGAUGGGUAGCGGGUGUGAGAGCACGACCCGCGUCAUUGGGACUGAGAUACUGCCCAGACACCUACGGGUGGCUGCAGUCGAGGAUCUUCGGCAAUGGGCGAAAGCCUGACCGAGUGACGCCGCGUGCGGGAUGAAGGCCUUCGGGUUGUAAACCGCUGUCGUAGAGGAGGAAAUGCAGGGGGGUUCUCCCCUCUGUUUGACCUAUUCUAGGAGGAAGGACGGGCUAAGUUCGUGCCAGCAGCCGCCGUAA